GGCAGGGUAGCUCAAACGGUAGAGCAGCGGACUCAUAAGCCGCCGGUUGUGGGUUCAAGUCCCACCCCUGCCACCA
rnacentral:tRNA from 1 species